UAGAGUUUGAUCAUGGCUCAGAUUGAACGCUGGCGGCAGGCCUAACACAUGCAAGUCGAGCGGAAACGACACUAACAAUCCUUCGGGUGAGUUAAUGGGCGUCGAGCGGCGGACGGGUGAGUAAUGCCUAGGAAAUUGCCUUGAUGUGGGGGAUAACCAUUGGAAACGAUGGCUAAUACCGCAUAAUGCCUACGGGCCAAAGAGGGGGAUCUUCGGACCUCUCGCGUCAAGAUAUGCCUAGGUGGGAUUAGCUAGUUGGUGAGGUAAUGGCUCACCAAGGCGACGAUCCCUAGCUGGUCUGAGAGGAUGAUCAGCCACACUGGAACUGAGACACGGUCCAGACUCCUACGGGAGGCAGCAGUGGGGAAUAUUGCACAAUGGGCGAAAGCCUGAUGCAGCCAUGCCGCGUGUAUGAAGAAGGCCUUCGGGUUGUAAAGUACUUUCAGUUGUGAGGAAGGGUGUGUAGUUAAUAGCUGCACACCUUGACGUUAGCAACAGAAGAAGCACCGGCUAACUCCGUGCCAGCAGCCGCGGUAAUACGGAGGGUGCGAGCGUUAAUCGGAAUUACUGGGCGUAAAGCGCAUGCAGGUGGUUCAUUAAGUCAGAUGUGAAAGCCCGGGGCUCAACCUCGGAACUGCAUUUGAAACUGGUGAACUAGAGUGCUGUAGAGGGGGGUAGAAUUUCA
rnacentral:rRNA from 1 species